UAACGCGUGGGUAACCUGCCUCACACUGGGGGAUAACAGUUAGAAAUAGCUGCUAAUACCGCAUAAGCGCACGGUUCCGCAUGGAACAGUGUGAAAAACUCCGGUGGUGUGAGAUGGACCCGCGUCUGAUUAGCCAGUUGGCGGGGUAACGGCCCACCAAAGCGACGAUCAGUAGCCGGCCUGAGAGGGUGAACGGCCACAUUGGGACUGAGACACGGCCCAAACUCCUACGGGAGGCAGCAGUGGGGAAUAUUGCACAAUGGGGGAAACCCUGAUGCAGCGACGCCGCGUGAGUGAAGAAGUAUUUCGGUAUGUAAAGCUCUAUCAGCAGGGAAGAAAGUGACGGUACCUGAAUAAGAAGCCCCGGCUAACUACGUGCCAGCAGCCGCGGUAAUACGUAGGGGGCAAGCGUUAUCCGGAUUUACUGGGUGUAAAGGGAGCGUAGACGGCAAGGCAAGUCUGAAGUGAAAGCCCGGUGCUUAACGCCGGGACUGCUUUGGAAACUGUUUGGCUGGAGUGCCGGAGAGGUAAGCGGAAUUCCUAGUGUAGCGGUGAAAUGCGUAGAUAUUAGGAAGAACACCAGUGGCGAAGGCGGCUUACUGGACGGUAACUGACGUUGAGGCUCGAAAGCGUGGGGAGCAAACAGGAUUAGAUACCCUGGUAGUCCACGCCGUAAACGAUGAUUGCUAGGUGU
rnacentral:rRNA from 1 species